GCCUCUCCUCCCUGAGUCUGCCUGGCUCCCAAGGCCAGAGUUAAUGACUGGGCACUGAAAGCCCACGCAGCUUUCUGGGCAGAGAUGAAAGACAGAGAGUGUGCGGGCCAUCGAGCAGAGGGUCCAGUUACCUACUAGCAUGGCUUCCUCCCAGUCAAUGGAAGCAUGGAUCAUGAACUUCCACAUGGCUUCUGGUGACUGCACAGACCAUGGAAAUCCACAUGGCCUUCAGCAUCAGCACAUGCCGAGGACCUCAGCAUGGUCUCCAGUGGGAGAAUAGACCACCAGCAUAAUACAGCCUUCUGUGACAGCAUGGACUACAGAUACUAUCAUGACCCUUGGCAGCAGCACAGGGCACAGACAUCAAUGUGAACUCUGUGGCAUGCGCCACAGGCACCAAUAUGAUCCCCAGCAUCAGUCCAGCCUGUGGACAUCAGCUUGACUUCAGGGGUCAGCACAGACCCUGGACAUCCCCAUGACCUUUGAUGGCAACACAGAUGACAGACAUCAACAUGCCUUUCUGUGGGA